rnacentral:rRNA from 1 species
GACAGAGGGUGCAAACGUUGUUCGGAAUUACUGGGCGUAAAGCGCGUGUAGGCGGCCCUGCAAGUACGGGUGGUGAAAUACCCACCGGCGUCAACCGUACGGAAGUAGCACUCGAAACUAGCAGGGCGUAGAGUCCUGGAGAGGAAGGUGGAAUGCUUGGUGUAGAGGUGAAAUUACGUAGAUAUCAAGCGGAACACCGGUGGCGAAGGCGGCCUUCUGGACAGUGACUGACGCUGAGACGCG